AAACGACUCUCGGCAACGGAUAUCUCGGCUCUCGCAUCGAUGAAGAACGUAGCGAAAUGCGAUACUUGGUGUGAAUUGCAGAAUCCCGUGAACCAUCGAGUCUUUGAACGCAAGUUGCGCCCGAAGCCACCAGGUCGAGGGCACGUCUGCCUGGGCGUCACACG
rnacentral:rRNA from 1 species